UACAGAGGUCUCAACCGUUGUUCGGAUUCAUUGGGCGUAAAGGGUGCGUAGGCGGUCGCGCAAGUCGGAUGUGAAAUCUCAGGGCUCAACCCUGAAACUGCAUUCGAUACUGCGUGGCUAGAGUGCUGGAGGGGAGACUGGAAUUUACGGUGUAGCAGUGAAAUGCGUAGAUAUCGUAAGGAAGACCAGUGGCGAAGGCGGCGACCUGGGCCAAUACUGACGCUGAGGUGCGAAAGCGUGGGGAGCAAACAGG
rnacentral:rRNA from 1 species